rnacentral:rRNA from 1 species
GAUCCUGGCUCAGGAUGAACGCUGGCGGCACGCCUAACACAUGCAAGUCGAACGGAGUUUAUCGAAGCUUGCUUUGAUAAACUUAGUGGCGGACGGGUGAGUAACACGUGAGCAACCUGCCUUUCAGAGAGGGAUAGCUUCUGGAAACGGAUGGUAAUACCUCAUAACAUAUUGGUACGGCAUCGUAUUAAUAUCAAAGAUUUAUCGCUGAAAGAUGGGCUCGCGUCUGAUUAGCUGGUUGGUGAGGUAACGGCCCACCAAGGCAACGAUCAGUAGCCGGACUGAGAGGUUGAACGGCCACAUUGGGACUGAGACACGGCCCAGACUCCUACGGGAGGCAGCAGUGGGGAAUAUUGCACAAUGGGCGCAAGCCUGAUGCAGCGAUGCCGCGUGAGGGAAGAAGGUUUUCGGAUUGUAAACCUCUGUCAUCGGGGACGAAAAUGACGGUACCCGAGAAGGAAGCUCCGGCUAACUACGUGCC